GGGGAAUAUUGGACAAUGGGCGAAAGCCUGAUCCAGCAACGCCGCGUGGAGGAUGAAGGCCCUAGGGUUGUAAACUCCUGUCAGGUGGGACGAACAGGCUUCGGUCAAUACCCGAAGUCCUUGACGGUACCGCCGAAGGAAGCCCCGGCUAACUACGUGCCAGCAGCCGCGGUAAUACGUAGGUGGCAAGCGUUGUCCGGAUUUAUUGGGUUUAAAGGGUGCGUAGGCGGCCUAUUAAGUCAGUGCUGAAAUAUCCCGGCUUAACCGGGAGGGUGGCAUUGAUACUGAUGGGCUAGAGUACAGAUGAGGUAGGCGGAAUUGACGGUGUAGCGGUGAAAUGCUUAGAUAUCGUCAAGAACACCUAUAGCGAAGGCAGCUUACUAGGCUGUAACUGACGCUGAGGCACGAAAGUGUGGGGAGCAA
rnacentral:rRNA from 1 species